rnacentral:rRNA from 1 species
CCUACGGGGGGCAGCAGUUUCGAAUCAUUCACAAUGGGCGAAAGCCUGAUGGUGCGACGCCGCGUGAGGGAUGAAGGCCUUCGGGUUGUAAACCUCUGUCACUGGGGAAGAAACGCUUCAAGUUAAUAGCUUGAAGCCUGACUUAACCCAGAGAGGAAGCAGUGGCUAACUCUGUGCCAGCAGCCGCGGUAAUACAGAGACUGCAAGCGUAAUGGGGGCUCAGGCGGCGUAAAGGGUGCGCAGGCAGCCCCCGGGGCUUAACCUCGGAAUUGCGCCUAAAACUACACGGCUAGAGCAUUGGAGAGGGUAGCGGAAUUCACGGUGUAGCAGUGAAAUGCGUAGAUAUCGUGAGGAACACCAGAGGCGAAGGCGGCUACCUGGACAAUUGCUGACGCUCAGGCACGAAAGCGUGGGGAGCAAAAGGGAUUAGAUACCCCAGUAGUC